rnacentral:rRNA from 1 species
UAAGUGUUUAAGGGCGCAUGGUGGAUGCCUUGGCACUGGGAGCCGAUGAAGGACGUGGGAGGCUGGCAAUAUGCCCUCGGGGAGCUGGCAACCGAACGUGGAUUCCGAGGAUUUCCGAAUGGGGAAACCC